rnacentral:rRNA from 1 species
UGACGAUAAUAGCUUGGAGGUCCCACCUGAUCCCUUCCCGAACUCAGAAGUGAAACUCCAAUGCGCCAAUGGUAGUGUGGUUCGCCCAUGUGAGAGUAGGUCAUCGUCA